rnacentral:rRNA from 1 species
UCCCAGACAAUGGGGGAACCGGCGUAAGGGGCAGUAAGGCAUGGGUACCUACCUCGGGGUUCGGGAUAGCCAUCAGAGAUGGUGGGUAAUACCGGAUGACGUCGCGAGACCAAAGAUUCAUCGCCCGGAGAGGGGCCCAUGUGAUAUUAGCUAGUUGGUGGGGUAACGGCCCACCAAGGCGAAGAUGUCUAGCGGGUGUGAGAGCACGACCCGCGCCACUCGCACUGAGACACUGGCGAGACACCUACGGGUGGCUGCAGUCGAGGAUCUUCGGCAAUGAGCGCAAGCUUGACCGAGCGACGCCGCGUGCGCGAUGAAGGCCUUCGGGUUGUAAAGCGCUUUAGUGGGGGAGAAAAGCCCGCAAGGGUGUGAUCUAUCCCAAAAAUAAGCACGGGCUAAGUUCGUGCCACAGCCGCGGUAAGACCAACCGUGCGAACGUUGUUCGGAAUCCUGGGCCUUAAAGGGCGCGUAGGCGGGCUGUCAAGUCUGGGGUGAA